GGUUGACCUCGGAUCAGGUAGGAAUACCCGCUGAACUU
rnacentral:rRNA from 4 species